CCUACGGGAGGCAGCAGUGGGGAAUAUUGCACAAUGGGCGCAAGCCUGAUGCAGCCAUGCCGCGUGUGUGAAGAAGGCCUUCGGGUUGUAAAGCACUUUCAGCGGGGAGGAAGGCGUUAAGGUUAAUAACCUUGGCGAUUGACGUUACCCGCAGAAGAAGCACCGGCUAACUCCGUGCCAGCAGCCGCGGUAAUACGGAGGGUGCAAGCGUUAAUCGGAAUUACUGGGCGUAAAGCGCACGCAGGCGGUCUGUCAAGUCGGAUGUGAAAUCCCCGGGCUCAACCUGGGAACUGCAUUCGAAACUGGCAGGCUAGAGUCUUGUAGAGGGGGGUAGAAUUCCAGGUGUAGCGGUGAAAUGCGUAGAGAUCUGGAGGAAUACCGGUGGCGAAGGCGGCCCCCUGGACAAAGACUGGCGCUCAGGUGCGAAAGCGUGGGGAGCAAACAGGAUUAGAUACCCUAGUAGUC
rnacentral:rRNA from 1 species